rnacentral:lncRNA from 1 species
AUGGCGCCGACCGUGAUGGCCUCGUCGGCCACCUCAGUUGCUCCAUUCCAGGGGCUCAAGUCCACCGCCGGACUCCCCGUGAGCCGCCGCUCCAUCAGCACCGGCUUCGUCAGCAACGGCGGAAGGAUCAGGUGCAUGCAGGUAAUAUAAUCGAUCGAUCAAGACACUGGAAUUAUAUUCUUGCUGUUUGUUCAUAGAAAUAAUGCAACUCAAUAGGAAGUUUAGGAACUGAUAUGAAAGUGUCGUUGCUCAGGUGUGGCCGGCGGAGGGCAACAAGAAGUUCGAGACCCUCUCCUACCUGCCACCUCUCUCCACGGACGAGGUCCUGAAGCAGAUCGACUACCUGAUCCGGAAGAACUGGAUCCCCUGCCUCGAGUUCAGCAAGAUCGGGUUCGUCUAUCGUGAGAACAGCACGUCUCCCUGUUACUACGACGGGCGCUACUGGACCAUGUGGAAGCUGCCCAUGUUCGGCUGCACCGAGGCCACCCAGGUGUACGCUGAGUUCGAGGAGUGCAAGAAGGCCUACCCCGACUGUUACAUCCGUAUCAUCGGCUUCGACAACAUCAAGCAGGUGCAGUGCGUCAUGUUCAUCGCCUACAAGCCCCCGGGCAGCGAGUAGACCGGCGGCGCCAAAUAAAAAGCUUAAAUACCUGUCCGUCUCAGUUCAACACCGCUUGAUUAUCUCCAUUUUUCCCCAUCUGAACGCUUCUGUAACUAUUGGGCGAGCAUGCGUGCCCAUGAGCAAUGCUACCAUUGGCUUGCUAAACAUGUGAAUGCAUGGUACAUAGC